rnacentral:siRNA from 1 species
GGGACUUAUUUACAAUGGUUGCCA